GUGGGGAAUUUUGGACAAUGGGCGCAAGCCUGAUCCAGCAAUGCCGCGUGCAGGAAGAAGGCCUUCGGGUUGUAAACUGCUUUUGUACGGAACGAAACGGUCCUGGUUAAUACCCGGGGCUAAUGACGGUACCGUAAGAAUAAGCACCGGCUAACUACGUGCCAGCAGCCGCGGUAAUACGUAGGGUGCAAGCGUUAAUCGGAAUUACUGGGCGUAAAGCGUGCGCAGGCGGUUUUGUAAGAUCGAUGUGAAAUCCCCGGGCUCAACCUGGGAACUGCAUUGGUGACUGCAAGGCUGGAGUGCGGCAGAGGGGGAUGGAAUUCCGCGUGUAGCAGUGAAAUGCGUAGAUAUGCGGAGGAACACCGAUGGCGAAGGCAAUCCCCUGGGCCUGCACUGACGCUCAUGCACGAAAGCGUGGGGAGCAAACAGGAUUAGAAACCCGUGUAGUCC
rnacentral:rRNA from 1 species